CAAACACAGAGUCCUUAUGUUGCCGUCGUUGUGGCGUUUCGGACUACUGCUUCAUGUACAGACGGCUGUAUUGCUUGCCCGCUCGGGUGCUGGCUUGCAGUCGUUUUACGUGGACGUGCGCUAGGGCUUGUUCCUUGUGCCGUUAGCAUUAUGCAGGUGGUGUUGUUUUGUGGCGUGGCCUCUGUGCCUUCCCACAUGAACAUUGAGGAGACUGUUGUUGGUGCCGGCUCUUUCUUAUUGAAUGCAACUGUUUUGCCGUUUGUGCAAUUGGCAUGAGAGUUUGAGCUUUGUGUGUUCCGAUGGCAGGUGUGGUGCAUGCAACAUGUUGUUGUGUGAUGCUGCUGCCUCGUUGGCAAUGCCUACCUAGUUUGA
rnacentral:misc_RNA from 1 species